rnacentral:rRNA from 1 species
UGGGGAAUUUUGGACAAUGGGCGAAAGCCUGAUCCAGCAAUGCCGCGUGUGUGAAGAAGGCCUUCGGGUUGUAAAGCACUUUUGUCCGGAAAGAAAUCCUUGGCUCUAAUACAGUCGGGGGAUGACGGUACCGGAAGAAUAAGCACCGGCUAACUACGUGCCAGCAGCCGCGGUAAUACGUAGGGUGCAAGCGUUAAUCGGAAUUACUGGGCGUAAAGCGUGCGCAGGCGGUUUGCUAAGACCGAUGUGAAAUCCCCGGGCUCAACCUGGGAACUGCAUUGGUGACUGGCAGGCUAGAGUAUGGCAGAGGGGGGUAGAAUUCCACGUGUAGCAGUGAAAUGCGUAGAGAUGUGGAGGAAUACCGAUGGCGAAGGCAGCCCCCUGGACCAAUACUGACGCUCAUGCACGAAAGCGUGGGGAGCAAACAGGAUUAGAUACCCUGGUAGUCCACGCCCUAAAACGAUGUCAACUAGUUGUUGGGGGAUUCAUUUCCUUAGUAACGUAGCUAACGCGUGAAGUUGACCGCCU